GGGUGUGAGGGCGAUCUGACUCUGACACCUGUCACCCCAUUGACCGGCAGGUUUGAUCCGGCUGAUCUGGCUGGCGAGGUUGGUGUCCCCUUCCGCCCUCACCGCUUCACGUGCCUCCCGCCCUGAAGCUCCAAGCUUGGCUGAAGAGGACGACCUUCCCCAAAUACAGGAGGUCUGGUCUUCCAUCAAGGGUGUAUGAGAAGCUUCACUUCCCUGCCAGAUGCUCCAAACAAGCUCUCAAGAAUGUCAAAAUGCCAUCUAUCGUGGUGUACACCUUUGAUCGCGGAACUUGGGAGAUAGAGGUAGGAGGAUUGCCGUAAGUUCGAGGCCACCCU
rnacentral:snRNA from 1 species